rnacentral:lncRNA from 1 species
AAAAUGGCUUGGUAUAGUAAGUGAAAGUGUACUGGGAAACGCAGGUCUCAAUCCACCUGUCGCAUUGAAUGUCGACUGCAGUGUUGACCGUUGAUGAGACAGUGGAUGACUGUGAUGACUAGGGCACGAGCGCCGACUGGCCUCUCCAUGUGACAGGUGGAGAUGGUGACAGCAGUGGCAUGGCAGGAGACGAUGAUGGCAACACGGUGGCAGAGCGGCAGUGAUGAAGAGAUCGUCUCCUUGCUGGAAGAGAGCAAUGUCGGCGGCAGUGACGAAGAUGAAGAUAGAAUGCCCAACUCAAUGGCAGUGGCUUGGAAGCUGCCAGAAAGUUCCAGAUGCAGCGAAUGGGAGGUUGCUGGAGAUUUCCAGAAGCAGGAUGAUAUAGGCUGCCAGAGGUUUUC